GGGUUGUAAACUGCUUUUAUACGGGAAGAAACACUCCCUCGUGAGGGAAUUUGACGGUACCGUAUGAAUAAGGAUCGGCUAACUCCGUGCCAGCAGCCGCGGUAAUACGGAGGAUCCAAGCGUUAUCCGGAAUCAUUGGGUUUAAAGGGUCCGUAGGCGGGUGCGUAAGUCAGUGGUGAAAGUCUGCAGCUCAACUGUAGAACUGCCAUUGAUACUGCAUACCUUGAGUAAUUAUGAAGUGGUUAGAAUAUGUAGUGUAGCGGUGAAAUGCAUAGAUAUUACAUAGAAUACCGAUUGCGAAGGCAGAUCACUAAUAAUUUACUGACGCUGAUGGACGAAAGCGUAGGUAGCGAACAGGAUUAGAUACCCUGGUAGUCUACGCCGUAAACGAUGGUUACUAGCUGUUUGGCUCGAUUGAGAGCUGAGUGGCUAAGCGAAAGUGAUAAGUAACCCACCUGGGGAGUACGUUCGCAAGAAUGAAACUCAAAGGAAUUGACGGGGGCCCGCACAAGCGGUGGAGCAUGUGGUUUAAUUCGAUGAUACGCGAGGAACCUUACCAGGGCUUAAAUGUAGUCUGACAGGGGUGGAAACACCCCCUUCUUCGGACAGAUUACANGGUGCUGCAUGGUUGUCGUCAGCUCGUGCCGUGAGGUGUCAG
rnacentral:rRNA from 1 species